rnacentral:rRNA from 1 species
AGUGAACGCUGGCGGUAGGCCUAACACAUGCAAGUCGAACGGCAGCACAGUAAGAGCUUGCUCUUACGGGUGGCGAGUGGCGGACGGGUGAGGAAUACAUCGGAAUCUACUUUUUCGUGGGGGAUAACGUAGGGAAACUUACGAUAAUACCGCAUACGACCUACGGGUGAAAGCAGGGGAUCUUCGCACCUUGCGCGAUUGAAUGAGCCGAUGUCGGAUUAGCUAGUUGGCGGGGUAAAGGCCCACCAAGGCGACGAUCCGUAGCUGGUCUGAGAGGAUGAUCGGCCACACUGGAACUGAGACACGGUCCAGACUCCUACGGGAGGCAGCAGUGGGGAAUAUUGGACAAUGGGCGCAAGCCUGAUCCAGCCAUACCGCGUGGGUGAAGAAGGCCUUCGGGUUGUAAAGCCCUUUUGUUGGGAAAGAAAAGCAGCAGGUUAAUACCCCGCUGUUCUGACGGUACCCAAAGAAUAAGCACCGGCUAACUUCGUG